rnacentral:rRNA from 1 species
CGCAUCUGUGCAUGCAGCAUAUCAAUAAGCGGAGGAAAAGGAGUAUACCUACGCUUAGGAUGUUGACGCGCGUGUGUGCGUGAGUCUAUACAUGACUCUGCGCAUAUCAAUAAGCGGAGGAAAAGAAAACUAACAAGGAUUCCCUUAGUAACGGCGAGUGAAGCGGGAAGAGCUCAAAUUUGAAAUCUUCAAGGUUUUACCUUGACGAAUUGUAGUUUAAAGAAGUGUUUUUCUGUUGAAGUUUUGGUAAAAGUUCUUUAGGAAUAGGACAUCAUAGAGGGUGAGAAUCCCGUAUUUGACCAUUAUUUUCAGCUGUGUGAUACACUUUCAAAGAGUCGGAUUGUUUGGGAAUGCAGUCCAAAAUGGGUGGUAAAUUUCAUCUAAAGCUAAAUAUUGGCGAGAGACCGAUAGCGAACAAGUACCGUGAGGGAAAGAUGAAAAGAACUUUGAAAAGAGGAGUUAAACAGUACGUGAAAUUGUCAAAAGGGAAGCGUUUGACACCAGUGUUGUUUUCUCGAAAAUCAAUUAAAAAGAGUUUAGAUUUUGUUGUGUAUUGACCUUAACAGCUUGCAUUUCAAUUUUCUUGCUUUUUUUAAUGCACUUUUCGUUUAACAAGUCAACAUCAGUUUCUUUUGUUGUAAAAAGGUCAUUGGAAGGUGGCUUUCUUUUCGGAGAAAGUGUUUAUAGCCUUUGACUCCUGCGAUCGGAGAGACUGAGGUCUGCAGCGUAGAUCCUUCGGGGUUAGAUACAUUUGUGCUAAGUUAUAGCUUUUUAUAGGACAACUUGUUGACUAUGAUUAGUCUUGUAGCUUACUCGCUUAUGCUAUUUUACCUACGCUUAGGAUGUUGACGCGCGUGUGUGCGUG